rnacentral:rRNA from 1 species
UGGGGAAUAUUGCACAAUGGGCGAAAGCCUGAUGCAGCAACGCCGCGUGAGUGAUGAAGGCCUUCGGGUUGUAAAGCUCUGUCUUUUGGGACGAUAAUGACGGUACCAAAGGAGGAAGCCACGGCUAACUACGUGCCAGCAGCCGCGGUAAUACGUAGGUGGCAAGCGUUGUCCGGAUUUACUGGGCGUAAAGGAUGCGUAGGCGGAUUUUUAAGUGAGAUGUGAAAUACCCGGGCUUAACUUGGGUGCUGCAUUUCAAACUGGGAAUCUAGAGUGCGGGAGAGGAGAAUGGAAUUCCUAGUGUAGCGGUGAAAUGCGUAGAGAUUAGGAAGAACACCAGUGGCGAAGGCGAUUCUCUGGACCGUAACUGACGCUGAGGCAUGAAAGCGUGGGUAGCAAACAGGAUUAGAUACCCUGGUAGUCCACGCCGUAAACGAUGAGUACUAGGUGUAGGAGGCUAUCGACCCCUUCUGUGCCGCAGUUAACACAAUAAGUACUCCGCCUGGGAAGUACGAUCAGCAAGAUUAAAACUGCAAAGGAAUUGACGGGGUC